GGUAAAAUGGCUGAUUAAGGCGAUAAAUUGUAAAUUUAUUUAUGGUUAAAUCCUUUUAUCA
rnacentral:tRNA from 1 species